rnacentral:rRNA from 1 species
AUUGAACGCUGGCGGCAGGCCUAACACAUGCAAGUCGAACGGUAACAGGAAGUGCUUGCACUUCGCUGACGAGUGGCGGACGGGUGAGUAAUACUUAGGGAUCUGCCUUUGAGUGGGGGAUAACUAUUGGAAACGAUAGCUAUACCUCAUAACGUCUACGGACCAAAGGGGGCUUUUAGCUCUCGCUCGAAGAGGAACCUAAGCGAGAUUAGCUUGUUGGUGAGGUAAAGGCUCACCAAGGCGACGAUCUCUAGCUGUUCUGAGAGGAAGAUCAGCCACACUGGGACUGAGACACGGCCCAG